rnacentral:rRNA from 1 species
AUAAGGGUUUUUUACAGGCUCAGGAUGAACGCUGGCGGCGUGCCUAAUACAUGCAAGUCGAAGCGAACUGAUUAGAAGCUUGCUUCUAUGACGUUAGCGGCGGACGGGUGAGUAACACGUGGAGCAACCUGCCUGUAAGACUGGGAUAACUCCGGGAAACCGGAGCUAAUACCGGAUAACAUUAUUCUCUUGCAUAAGAGAAAAUUGAAAGAUGGUUUCGGCUAUCACUUACAGAUGGGCCCGCAGGUGCAUUAGCUAGUUGGUGAGGUAACGGCUCACCAAGGCAACGAUGCAUAGCCGACCUGAAGAGGGUGAUCGGCCACACUGGGACUGAGACACGGCCCAGACUCCUACGGGAGGCAGCAGAUAGGGAAUCUUCCGCAAUGGACGAAAGUCUGACGGAGCAACGCCGCGUGAGUGAUGAAGGACUUUCGGGUCGUAAAACUCUGUUGUUAGGGAAGAACAAGUACAAGAGUAACUGCUUGUACACUUGACGGUACCUAACCAGAAAGCCACGGCUAACUACGUGCCAGCAGCCGCGGUAAUACGAGGGGACCGGUAUCGGCAUUAUUGGGCGAAAGCGCGCGCAGGCGGUUUCUUAAGUAGGUGGCAAGCGUUAUCCGGAAUUAUUGGGCGUAAAGCGCGCGCAGGCGGUUUCUUAAGAUCUGAUGUGAAAGCCCACGGCUCACCCGUGGAGGGUCAUUGGAAACUGGGGAACUUGAGUUCUGAUGUGAAAGCCCACGGCUCAACCGUGGAGGGUCAUUGGAAACUGGGGAACUUGAGUAGCAGAAGAGAAAAGAGGAAUUCCACGUGUAGCGGUGAAAUGCGUAGAGAUGUGGAGGAACGCAGAAGAGAAAAGCGGAAUUCCACGUGUAGCGGUGAAAUGCGUAGAGAUGUGGAGGAACAACCAGUGGCGAAGGCGGCUUUUUGGUCUGUAACUGACGCUGAGGCGCGAAAGCGUGGACCAGUGGCGAAGGCGGCUUUUUGGUCUGUAACUGACGCUGAGCGCGAAAUGAACGUCGAGGAGCAAACAGGAUUAGAUACCCUGGUAGUCCACGCCGUAAACGAUGAGUGCUAAGUGUUAAGAGGGUUUCCGCCCUUUAGUGCUGCAGCUAACGCAUUAAGCACUCCGCCUGGGGAGUACAGGUCGCAAGACUGAAACUCAAAGGAAUUGACGGGGGCCCGCACAAGCGGUGGAGCAUGUGAGUUUAAUUCGAAGCAACGCGAAGAACCUUACCAGGUCUUGACAUCCUCUGACAACUCUAGAAGAUAGAGCGUUCCCCUUCGGGGGACAGAGUGACAGGUGGUGCAUGGUUGUCGUCAGCUCAGUGUCGUGAGAUGUUGGGUUAAGUCCCGCAACGAGCGCAACCCUUGAUCUUAGUUGCCAGACAUUAAGUUGGGCACUCUAAGGUGACUGCCGGUGACAAACCGGAGGAAGGUGGGGAUGACAGUCAAAUCAUCAUGCCCCUUAUGACCUGGGCUACACACGUGCUACAAUGGAUGGUACAAAAGGGCUGCAAGACCGCGAGGUCAAGCCAAUCCCAUAAAACCAUUCUCAGUUCGGAUUGUAGAGCUGCAACUCGCCUACAUGAAGCUGGAAUCGCUAGUAAUCGCGGAUCAGCAUGCCGCGGUAGGGAAUACGUUCCCGGGGCCUUGUACACACCGCCCGUCACACCACGAGAGUUUGUAACACACCGAAGUCGGUGGGGUAACCUUUAUGGAGCCAGCCGCCUAAGGUGGGACAGAUGAUUGGGAGUGAAUCUAAGGGGGGGGGCGCCGAUAAAGGGGGGGGGUA